GUUCGCUUAGAAGAAUGUGUGAGAAAGUGACAAAAUGGAUUAUACAUCUAUGGAAUUGACUCAAGGGGGACCUCAGCCUUCCACCAGGAAACAGAUUUCUUCAGACCAUCUGCUCCUGCAGCCUGCCUCCUUCUGAUCAGCACUGUCCAUUCAAUACAACAUUCUGCAGUGAUGGAAA